UACGGAGGAUGCAAGCGUUAUCCGGAUUUAUUGGGUUUAAAGGGUGCGCAGGUUGUUUGAUAAGUCAGUGGUGAAAGUCUGUCGCUUAACGGUAGGAUUGCCAUUGAUACUGUUAGACUUGAAUAUGGAUGAGGUAGGCGGAAUGUGUAGUGUAGCGGUGAAAUGCAUAGAUAUGUCGUGGAAUACCGAUUGCGAAGGCAGCUAACUGGGUCUUGAUUGACGCUGAGGCACGAAAGCGUGGGGAGCGAACAGGA
rnacentral:rRNA from 1 species